ACAUGAAACAUGCUAUAUUAUUGAAAUCCUCCAAAGGGCAUUAUGAUAAUAUGUCAAUUCUGGGCCAGUGAAAUUAGCAUAAUAAGCACUGAGGAAUUUUUGUGUUAGUGAUUGUUUUUUCACAAAAGUCCCUGAUUUUCAAAUAGACAUUGAAAAUUGACAAUUCACAUUGAGUGUGCUUGAGCUAUUACAUUUCCCAGCAUGCAGCUCAAUGUCUUUUAUUUUCUUUCUUUCUUCCCAUGUUGUUUUGCACUGAGCAGGUUUCAUAGAGUCACUCCAGAAUUUCCCAAAGCCAUAACAGCAAUAGACUGACUGAUAGAUGAGAAGUAGGGUCCAUGCACAAUGCAAAUACAUUCUGGGAAAAUAAUAUAAUAAUGUAGCAUCCCAUACCAAUCACAGCGGCUAGGCAGUGUUGCAUCAUGGGUCUUGUCAGUUGCAGUGUUACAUUUUGGUUCUGUCUGCUUAAAAAAUAAAAAUAAACAAAGGCUAACAUCGGCUUUAUUCUACACACAUCUGGACAGAUAACAAAACGGAUGAGUUUUGGACUUGUAUUUUGGACUUGUAUUCUACACACAUCUGGACAGAUAACAAAACAGAUGAGUUUUGGACUUGUAUUCUACACACAUCUGGACAGAUAACAAAACAGAUGAGUUUUGGACUUGUAUUCUUCACACAUCUGGACAGAUAACAAAACAGAUGAGUUUUGGACUUGUAUUCUACACACAUCUGGACAGAUAACGAAACAGCGUCGUAUUGGACUUGGAGUUGUAUUGGACUUGGAGUUGUUUUGGAAUAUAAUAUGCCUGAUCCAGUCGGGCAAGAUUUUUUUGUAAAAGAUGUAAGUUUGUGUUAAAAUCUUUGUACAGUGUACAUAGCUAGGUUGUUUAAAUGCUGAUUUUGUAGAUAUUGAAUUGCAAUCCUGACUGACUUUCUUUGAGUUUCUUGUGUUUGAUGUGAAUGUGGACUGUAAGAGACAAUGAUAAAUCAAUCAUUUAACCUCAGCUCCCCUCCUCCGGUCGCAUUUCAACUAAAGUCUUUUUGUUUUUUUCAUUAACCUUUGCUUUAAAAGAUAAAUAGCCUUUCAAUAGACUAGGUGAAACUUCCACAGUAUUUCAUGUACAAAACCUGCAUUACAUUACAUCCCUGUGGUUUUUCUUUUUUGUUUAAUAUCUUUCUCUGGUUUUUGUUCCUUUUCAAUUAUUUUAGGUAGUAUUAAAAUAUAUCUAAUCUAACUGCAGCAAUUGAGUUUACAAAAUGAGUUAUUUUUAACUGCUUUUUUGUUUUUUAAAUCAAUGCUGAAAAUAAAAUGGUUCUUGAUCAAACCAAGUGUAAGUUCUUCCUCAAUGCAAUGGAAAAGGUUUGCCUAUGAUGUUACAGAAUGGACUAAACUUGAUUAACUGUAAAAGGUUUGCGAGGUAACUUGUUUCCAAGGUAACUUGAUAUAAUUACAGAUUUAUAUGCAAGUAUCACGUAUGGCUCUAAAGCCCUUGAACUCAACUCUGACC
rnacentral:lncRNA from 1 species